rnacentral:lncRNA from 1 species
CCCUCCAUCCUGAAAAAAGUAUCCUUUUGUUCUAUUCUAAGUCAAACAAUCUUAUAUUUGACCAAAUUUAUAUAAAAUAUAUCAAUACUUUUGAUGUCUAACAAGUUUCAUUAGAUUUGUUAUGAAAUAUAUUUUCAUAGCAUACCUAUUUAUUGUUAUAAAUAUUGAUACAAUUCAUUGUAAACUCAGUCAAACUUAAAACAGUUUGACUUAGGACAAACCUAAAAUAACAUUCUUUGCGGGAUGGAGGGAGUAUAGUAUAGAGGUGGAAUCAAUGGUACCUUGACAAACAGACGAGGUACAAUACCCUGCACAUAUGUUCUGUUUCUUCUAUAUGUUUCUUUCUAAUCCUCGGUUUAACUGAAUCUAACUGCAUGAAGUUGCGAAUUGUGAUAAACAAAUUUGCCUAAACGCCAUCUUAAUUACCGAUAGUAUUACAAUUUGGUAACCCAAUAUAUUCACCUUUGGCAGCCGAAAAGAAUUAUAACAAGUUGGAAACUGCAAACAUCGGACUCAAGC